GGCACGGUGGUGCAGUGGGUAGCACUGUCGCCUCACAGGAAGAAGGUUGUGGGUUCGAUUCUCGGCUUGGGGCC
rnacentral:tRNA from 1 species